UACGGGGGGUGCGAGCGUUGUCCGGAAUCACUGGGCGUAAAGGGCGCGUAGGUGGCCUGGUAAGUCUGUGGUGAAAGCCCGGAGCUCAACUCCGGGUCUGCCGCGGAUACUGCGAGGCUUGAGUGCUGUAGAGGGGGGUAGAAUGCCGGGUGUAGCGGUGGAAUGCGUAGAGAUCGGGAGGAACAUCCGUGGCGAAGGCGGCCAUCUGGACCAGCACUGACACUGAGGCACGAAAGCGUGGGGAGCAAACAGG
rnacentral:rRNA from 1 species